CACUAAUGAUUUGAAAUGUUAAAUGUCAGACCGUCAAACGUAAAUAUUUGUUAAUCAAGAAAAGUAAAACUAGUUUAUUGUUCAACAAAAAUGGAUAAAGAAAUUAUUUUAAGGAAAGCAUUUAUUUGUUUUUUGAUGAUGAAGAAGAUGAAGAAAAUAUUGUGGAAAUUAAUUCAAGGCGAAUUAUACAAAAUGAGAACUAUGCCGAAGAAGUGGUUCCGAGAUUCUCCGACAAGACUUUCAAACAACAUUUUCGAGUUAAUCCGAUUGUAUUUGAUAUGUUGUGCCAAGAACUUCUUUGCCAUGGAACAGCAUAAUUAUGGAACGGGUAGGGAAUCUGCCGAUAUAGAAGAAAAAAUGGUACUUAGGCAAUCCCGAAUGCAUGAGGUUUGUAUUAAUGGUUUUUCAAUACACUUUUUACUAUAGGUAUGAUUAUAGAUCGAUUAUAGAUAGGUUCAGCGUUUGCAUUGCAAACGUAUUCUGAAUUAUCACGAGGAUUUGUAAUAAUCUCAUUCAAUUAAAUAGGACGAAGAGAUUUAUAAAAUGGCCCAAUUCCGCUGAGGCUGCCAGAACGUCUGCGCAUUAUUUGCGGAAAACCCGUUUACCAGAAUAAUUGGAUCCAUAGAUGGUUGCCAUAUAGCAAUUAGAGCACGAACUAUGUCCCACAACUGCUAUAUAAAUCGGAAAGGCUUCCAUUCGGUUCUCCUGCAAGGAGUUUGCAACCACAGACUGGUGUUUACAUACUGCUAUACUGGUGAAUUCUACAUACAUGAAGAGCAGCAUCUAUAUUGGGAGAUUCUGCGUAUCCUCUGAAGCAGUGGCUGGUAACUCCUUACAAGGAUAAGGGGCGUUUGGGUGAUAAACACAAAGUAUUUAAUAGGAUUCAUUCCAAAUUUCGUGUUUCAAUUGAGCGCGCAUUCGGAUUGCUGAAAGGCAGGUGGAGGAGUCUAUUCAAUAUAAAUUCACUGAAGCCUACAUCAUUGUGAAAUAUAUUAUGGCCUCAUGUAUUUUACAUAAUAUAUGUAAAGCAUCCAACGAUACAGCAGAAGACUACAUCAUUCUUGAAGACGACGAAAAUACUGACGAUGACCGGGAAGGGGACUCUAUCGAAUUGCAAAAAGCUCAAACAAAAAGAGAAAGUUUGAUGAUUUUAAAGUUAUAUGAUAACAACGAAGUAUUUUUAAAGUUAAAUUAAUACAAAUAAUUGUAAUAUUUUAAAAAGUAAAAUAAUAUACAGAAAAAGUAAAUAAGUUGUCAGUUGAAUUAUUCUAAAAUCAAUUAAAAAUUAUCAAAAAUAUUUUGCAUGGGCAUCUUUUUGAAAACAUCAGCGCGUUUUCAUUUGGCGUGCGUUUUUCCUUGUAUCAGUAUUUAUGACAUUUUGACGUCAUACUAAAGUGGUAUGAACUAAUCAACUCGAACAAUUUACAAACAAACAAUUAUAUGAACUUCAAAAUUGUAUGAUGCAACGAUAAAGAACGUUUUUGGUAUAUGGUCAUAUUUGAAGAAACAGAGUUGACAGAUUAUUUACAAAAAAAAGGACAAUAACACAGCAUAAAUUCUUGAAAUCUGACUUGAAUACCUUGAGAACAUUUAUUAUGUACAAAUGUAUUGACUUCAGGCUUCAUCUAAAAAAAAAUGGUGUUAACUUUCGGUUGCAUACAAAAAUAUGCAAGAUCGGGUCCCACGAACUUGCUGUUGUAUCCAAAGAUUCUUUUCUAAAAAAUACGCCUAACGCAAAUCUGCUUAUAAAACCUUGAUUUCCAAAUUUGAACUCAGUCGACGUGUAAGGGCGAGAACAGACGGAGGACCCACUUUUUUGGACUUCUUUACUAUCGUUAUGUCAUGUUUGAUUUAUAUUUCCAGUUCGAAAUAUUUUAAGAUUGCAAUAAUUGUCCUACAGUUCCUACAUGUCAAAUAAAAAACAUUUGACAGUUUUUUUCUACAAGCAAAUUAAAUCCUACAAAAAAUAAUAAGCUUAUUUGGUUUAACGUCUCAUAAAUUCUUAUUGCAAACAGUUUCCUAAAUAAAAAUGUAGCUUAUUGCAGAAAAAGAAAUUAUUUGAAAGAGCGCCAAUAGGAAGUAAUCAGAGUUAGACGCAUGCUAGGGUAACUAUUUAUUUGUUAAUAAUUAUUGACUUUAUGUUUUUUAUUUCUCAAAUAUUCAAAUAAUUGGUUUGCUUAACCUUAGAUCCGUUUUCUUAAAACAAAUUUUGAAAUUUCGACCCAUUAUUUUUCCCACUUCAGUGUUUUUUAAAUUCGUAUAACAUUUAUGGACUUUCCAUAGGGUUAGAAUUUUGAGACUGUCCCAUGGAUAUUUAUGUUUGAAACUUAUUUUGUUGAACAAUUUUUAUUUCACUUAGAAAGUUAAAUAAUAUGUACAAACUCAAAUCUGUUUUCACUAAGCCAUCAAAAAUCUGCCCACCGCCAUUUUUAACAUUUGACAUCCCAGUUGUUUUAUAUCACCUGUUCUUUUAAAACACUUACACAAACGUAUCUGGAUCCGUCUGAAAUUGAAAUUAGCCAAUGCGUUCUCCAUCUUUAUGUGUUAUAAUAUUGAUUCAUACAAAUAUUUAUUGUUAACCAAAAUUAUCAUUUUUUUAUAGCUAUAUCUAUAAGAAUAAAAUGUAUAUCUUACCUACUCAGACUGAAUCGUAUAAAAUAAUGAUUUUUGUUCCCAUUAUUCUGUUAAAUUUAAUCUUCAACCUAUCUACGUGGAGUUGAAGCCAUCAAAAGGCAGUUAGGCUGACAUACUUGCACCACAUCUUACAGUCACUUUUAUGUGUAAUAAAUAUAUAGCACAUCGCAUUAAAAUACAAUCAGUGCAAUGAAUGGUAGUAUCCAUUUUCAGAUUGUAUCAGCCAGCACUAGGUCAACAUCAGUGCUCAUGAUUAGGGUGACCACAUCUAGGUAUAAGCAAAAGAGGACACCUACCAAAAUCUCAAAAAAAUAGAAGAUCAUAUUUUAUUUCUUAUUCAUUUUGUAAUAAAAUAACUUAAAUAUGAAUAUGUGCACAUAAAUAUUACACUAAUCAGG